rnacentral:lncRNA from 1 species
CCUUUCUCUCUUUCCCAGCCAUGGCCUCUCAGCCACCAGUCACCUCUUCCCCCAACCCCCUGACCUCCCACUUCUCUUCUCAAUUCAACUGCUCUUCAGGAUUUCUGGUUGCACUACCUCUGGAGACAAGACUCUAGCAUUUGUUCUUUAUAGUAAUGUCAUUGGAUUGAGGAUACUUGUUUGCAGAGGAGGCAAGAAUGCGUUGUUCCGUUUUUGAAUUCCACACAUCUAAUAUGGAGCCUGAGCCACAGGGCUCAAAAUGUUAAGUAAACAAAUGAAUGGGAAAUUAAUAAGAAGAAUGCAUUGGCAAGACCGUGAAGGCCUGCCAUGGGAAGCUUUGGGAAGAAGCCAGCUGCCAUGUUGUGAGAACUCUCAAGCAGCUGUGUGGAGAGAUCCAUGUGGUGAGGAACUGAAGCCUCCUACCCACCAUCAAGUCAGUGGCUCACUACUGUUGCAGUGAAUUCUCCAGCCCAUGAAGACUUUAGAUGAUUUACCCAACAUCUUGAUUAUAGCCUCAUGGAUUCCCUGAGCCAGAACAACCCAGCUAAGCCUCUCCUGAAUUCCUUACCUACAGAAACUGUGAGAUAAUAAAUAUUUAU